rnacentral:misc_RNA from 1 species
AAGGAUCAUUAUUGAAUUAAACCUGAUGAGUUGUUGCUGGUUCUCUAGGGAGCAUGUGCACGCUUGUCAUCUUUAUAUCUCCACCUGUGCACCUUUUGUAGACCUGGAUAAUCUCUCUGAAUGGCUAGCCAUUCAGGAUUGAGGAUUGACAUUUCUGUCUUUCCUUACAUUUCCAGGCCUAUGUUUAUUCAUAUACCCCGAUGUAUGUUAUAGAAUGUAAUUAAUGGGCCUUUGUGCCUAUAAACCUAUACAACUUUCAGCAACGGAUCUCUUGGCUCUC